rnacentral:rRNA from 1 species
UACGGAAGGUCCGGGCGUUAUCUGGAUUUAUUGGGUUUAAAGGGAGCGUAGGCCGUCUGUUAAGCGUGUUGUGAAAUGUCGGGGCUCAACCUGGGCAUUGCAGCGCGAACUGGCAGACUUGAGUGCGCGGGAAGUAGGCGGAAUUCGUCGUGUAGCGGUGAAAUGCUUAGAUAUGACGAAGAACUCCGAUUGCGAAGGCAGCCUGCUGUAGCGUAACUGACGCUGAAGCUCGAAAGCGUGGGUAUCGAACAGG